rnacentral:rRNA from 1 species
UUAAGCGACUAAGCGUACACGGUGGAUGCCCUGGCAGUCAGAGGCGAUGAAGGACGUGCUAAUCUGCGAUAAGCGUCGGUAAGGUGAUAUGAACCGUUAUAACCGGCGAUUUCCGAAUGGGGAAACCCAGUGUGUUUCGACACACUAUCAUUAACUGAAUCCAUAGGUUAAUGAGGCGAACCGGGGGAACUGAAACAUCUAAGUACCCCGAGGAAAAGAAAUCAACCGAGAUUCCCCCAGUAGCGGCGAGCGAACGGGGAGGAGCCCAGAGCCUGAAUCAGUGUGUGUGUUAGUGGAAGCGUCUGGAAAGGCGCGCGAUACAGGGUGACAGCCCCGUACACAAAAAUGCACAUACUGUGAGCUCGAUGAGUAGGGCGGGACACGUGGUAUCCUGUCUGAAUAUGGGGGGACCAUCCUCCAAGGCUAAAUACUCCUGACUGACCGAUAGUGAACCAGUACCGUGAGGGAAAGGCGAAAAGAACCCCGGCGAGGGGAGUGAAAAAGAACCUGAAACCGUGUACGUACAAGCAGUGGGAGCACAGAGCAAUCUGUGUGACUGCGUACCUUUUGUAUAAUGGGUCAGCGACUUAUAUUCUGUAGCAAGGUUAACCGAAUAGGGGAGCCGAAGGGAAACCGAGUCUUAACUGGGCGUUAAGUUGCAGGGUAUAGACCCGAAACCCGGUGAUCUAGCCAUGGGCAGGUUGAAGGUUGGGUAACACUAACUGGAGGACCGAACCGACUAAUGUUGAAAAAUUAGCGGAUGACUUGUGGCUGGGGGUGAAUGGCCAAUCAAACCGGGAGAUAGC